UAAAAUCCCUUCGUCUCCUAAAUCCUCUCUAAACAUCUCCAAAACCCUAGCCCUAUCCCGCCGGUUUCCACCUUGUUCCAUCGGAAUCAAUGGCGUCCCAAGCCCUGGGUAGCCUAUACUCACCCUCACCUACCCCCAUACACCUGUUACUGGAAGAUUCAAGGUUCGAGCUUGAAGGUCUUCGCUCAGAUCUCCACCGAUUCGAGUUUUACGGCCAUCUUCGGCUUGGCUCCGGCAUAUCCUAGCCCUAUGAAUCCAUCUCUGACUCACUCGAGUCGGAGCAGACCCUUUUUCCAGGCCUCUCUCACUUAUGGGGUUCUUCUGAAACUCUAGCCUUUCGAGUUUUCCUAUUUUCUCUAGAUCUGCUCUAGAUCCACGUAUCUUAAGCUUUUCAAAUGAUUCCUCUAAAUUUCUUCCAUAACUUUGCUUUCAAAACUGUUUGUCUUCUCCGACUUAGGGUUUUCUUUAAUUUUACUUGUUCUGCUGAGAGUCCUAUGUGUUCUUACUGUAUUUUCUCCACUGUGUUUUCAUCUACCUUGAUUUCUUCUACCAUUGCUUUAUGAGUUCUUUUACAAUAUCUUGUUCUCUUAUUAUGUUUUCCGGAAAUGCUUAAGGUUUUAGAUCCAUUGGGUCUUGUAAACUUAUUUAGUUAUUACUUUUGCUUGAUUUGUCUGCUUUCAUCUUUACACUUGAUUAAUGGCGGAAACCCUAGAAUUUGGGCGUUUUCAGACCACUUGUAUAUGACUUGCAUGUUCUCACCUCUGAACUAGUUUGAUUUCAAUUUCUGAAGUCAUCUCUGUUUUUCAUAUGGUUCAGACCUUUUGCCAAAAUCUUUUCUACACUAGAUUUUCCUACUGAUUCUUUACAAUGAGAGUACGGUCUUUUUUCAUGUUUGAUGUGUUCGUAUGCUCCUUAUAUACUAUGAAUUUCCCCUUAAAUGGUUUUUCAAAUUUGCAAUUAGUUCAAAAUUUCUACUGAAUAUAGCUUGAUUGAUUUCUUUCCACUGUUUGCCUGUGACUCAACCUAAGUAAAACCUUUCUCCUUUUUUCGGACUUGAUUCAUUCGCAUAAAAAUUUCAGACCUUUUGAUUUACUGCUUAUUAAUUGAUCUUCUUACCUUAUUUGCACAAACCACGUAUUUCAAAAACUUGUCAAUAAAUAACUUUUAUGUAUUUACCCUUAUUUGUAUACUAUGCACACUGUUGUUUAUUUGAUCCCCUUUCCUUAAAUACUUCAUGUCCUUCACUGAUCAAAUUGGGAUUCCUUAAUUAAAGGAACCUCUACUAAUUGAUUGAUACUCGAUUAUUUUCUUUCCUUAAUACAUGACUUAAAGUAUAAGUUUCCGCUCCUCUCUUCACUCCAUCAUCGAAUUCUGACUGCAAAUCCAAAUCAAAAUUCACAUCUCUGUCUUGAAAUAUUCUUUACUACUACCAUUGCUACUCUCUAUUUUUCUAUACUACUAGUGAGCAUCUGCAUCUUUACCUCCUGCUGUUUGAACUCCUGAGUACUUGUGAUAGGUUCUUGAGUUUGUUCCUAUUGUUCCUGGCUGUUUGUUUACUGUUACUAUUCUGUUGUUCUAGAAUUUGCAACUGGUAUGUUCUUCUAUGUUAAAUAGCAUCCUCUUUGUUAUGAGUUCCAUUCUCCUCUUCUAUCUUUCUUUCUUGUGUGUUUUCUCAUUAUUUCCUGCAUUAUGUGAUUAUAUUCAAGCAUGAUAUGCCUCCUUGUGCUUUCAAUCUGUUAUGUUUUAAUCCCUUCCCUCCAUUCCUUUUGUAUGUGACUAUUGUCCCGAAUCAUGGCAACACUUUGAAUUGUUCUCUUUGAUCUAGAACUAGACUCUUCCGAGUCUUUACUCAAUUUUUACCAAUUCCCUUUCCCCCUUUAUGCGUUGAGCUAUAAUUUGGGUCUGUUGGUGUCCUAAUCACCAUUCAGACCUAAGUUUAACUCUAUGAGAGUCUGCUCUUAUUUGUUUUAAUCUGAGCAAGAGGUCAGGGGUGUGUAAAUCUAUGCCAUGGCUAGGUAUGACCACCUCCUGUUGAGGUUCCCCCAUUACUUUGCACUUACUCCUAGUUCUAAAGUUCUACCCCCUUUGGUAAACCAUGCUUAGGGACCCUAGAGCUCCCUCUGAACCUGGAUGCCUGAGGGCAUGUAAUUCCAUACAUUGCACUACUCUGUUAUAACAUUCACUCUUUAGAGUGUAAGCAUUUCCUGGGCUCUUGAAGCUCUGAAAUGCUCUAAGAGAAGGCCUUGGUAUCUGGAACCCGGAUUUGGUAAAACACAUGUAUUGGAUAUUAAGAUUACAUUAGGGAGUUUGGAUCUAGUUGUGGGCUAUGAUGUAUUUUUUUUUUACUUUUGGAUCUGUAAUAACAACUUUGUAAUAAGAACUUGGGGAGUAUAGUAGUAAAGGGUAUGGGAGAGGUUUUUAGUUG
rnacentral:lncRNA from 1 species